rnacentral:rRNA from 1 species
GAUGAACGCUGGCGGCGUGCUUAACACAUGCAAGUCGAACGGAAAUGUCACGCUGAUGCGAUUUCGGUCAAAUCUUGUGGCAUUUUAGUGGCGGACGGGUGAGUAACGCGUGGGUAACCUGCCUCACACUGGGGGAUAACACUUAGAAAUAGGUGCUAAUACCGCAUAAGCGCACGGGACUGCAUGGUCUUGUGUGAAAAACUCCGGUGGUGUGAGAUGGACCCGCGUCUGAUUAGCUGGUUGGCGGGGUAACGGCCCACCAAGGCGACGAUCAGUAGCCGGCCUGAGAGGGUGGACGGCCACAUUGGGACUGAGACACGGCCCAA